rnacentral:tRNA from 3 species
GGUCAGGUAGCUCAGUUGGUAGAGCAACGGACUGAAAAUCCGUGUGUCGGCGGUUCGACCCCGCCCCUGACCA